rnacentral:rRNA from 1 species
GGGGGGCCCUUUUUUUUUAGUAAGGCGCCGUGAUUCAUUAGAAAWUGAUAUAUUCCAAUAUAUAGUGGGUCAUCAAUAGGCUAGUAUGAAGUUUAUUCGGAACAAAUGGCAUAAUCUUUAACGGUUGUGUAUAUUGUCUGGUAAGCAUGCUAUUACCUGUAAUGACUGUCUGAUGAGUUUUAAAAACUAAUAUCAUUGAUGUUACGGCAUCAUCUCUCUUAUGAGAWCGAUAUAUAUGUUUGAUCAACGGCGGUUAAAUUUGGGAUACCUUUUGGACCCGUCUUGAAACACGGACCAAGGAGUCUAUCUAGUAUGCGAGUAAAUGGAUAUUUUAUGAAAUCUAUUUGCAUAAUAAACGUAACUGUUAUGGGAUUACAAGUAAUAAUUUUAAUUAUUAUUUUUCCAUCCCGGAGUAUUUUCAUUCACAUAUGACGUUAAAAAUUAUAUGGAAAAUAUAUCAUGAGCAUACUGGAUACGACCCGAAAGAUGGUGAACUAUGCCUGAUCAGGUCGAAGUCAGGGGAAACCCUGAUGGAGGACCGAAGCAGUUCUGACGUGCAAAUCGAUUGUCAAAAUUGGGCAUAGGGGCGAAAAACCACCCAAACC